CACUCCUCAUUCUCAUCUAACAAUCUUCCCUUUCUUCUCUGAAGAGUCGCUGGCACCACCACCACCAUCGUCCCUCGUGCCCAGCUCGUGCCCGCCACCACCGCCGUCACUCCUCACUUUCUUCAAACACUGAUGUUGCUUUGGGGUUUUUUGCUUUGGGGUUGUCGACGAAAAGAAUGCUGUGAGCAUCAAACAUGUUUGUUAAUUUUCAGAUUCUUUUCAUGGGUUGUCUUGGUCCAUGGACGAGAGAUCGUUGAAAGAUGCGUUU